rnacentral:rRNA from 1 species
GUGCCAGCAGCCGCGGUAACACGGAGGGGGUUAGCGUUGUUCGGAAUUAUUGGGCGUAAAGCGCGCGUAGGCGGACAUUUAAGUCAGAGGUGAAAUCCCAGGGCUCAACCCUGGAACUGCCUUUGAUACUGGGUGUCUUGAGUUCGAGAGAGGUGAGUGGAAUUCCGAGUGUAGAGGUGAAAUUCGUAGAUAUUCGGAGGAACACCAGUGGCGAAGGCGGCUCACUGGCUCGAUACUGACGCUGAGGUGCGAAAGUGUGGGGAGCAAACAGGAUUAGAAACCCCUGUAGUCC